rnacentral:rRNA from 1 species
UACGAAGGGUGCUAGCGUUGUUCGGAUUUACUGGGCGUACAGGGCGCGUAGGCGGUCAGCACAAGUCAGUUGUGAAAUCUCCGGGCUUAACUCGGAAAGGUCAACUGAUACUGUGCGACUAGAGUGCGGAAGGGGCAACUGGAAUUCUUGGUGUAGCGGUGAAAUGCGUAGAUAUCAAGAGGAACACCUGCGGCGAAGGCGGGUUGCUGGGCCGACACUGACGCUGAGGCGCGAAAGCCAGGGGAGCGAACGGG